rnacentral:rRNA from 1 species
AAACAACUACGAGUGAAAACUUAAAAUUUAAAGGACUUGACGGUACUUCACCCAACCUAGAGGAGCCUGUCUAAUAACCGAUACUCCACGAUUAACCCAACCACUUCUAGCCAUACAGUCUAUAUACCGCCGUCGCCAGCCUACCUUAUGAAAGAAACAAAGUAAGCCAAACAGUCAAACACUAACACGACAGGUCGAGGUGUAACUUAUGAAGUGGAAAAAGAUGGGCUACAUUUUCUAGUAUAGACUAAACGGACAUAGCUGUGAAACCGACUAUUAAAGGAGGAUUUAGUAGUAAGAUGAGAACACAAUACUCAACUGAAAACAAUGCAAUGAAGUGCGU